AUCCUGACGAUGUGAGCGCGAUAGAACCACCUGAAUCCAUUCCGAACUCAGAAGUGAAAUGUCGUAGUACCGAUGGUAGUGUAAGGCUUCCUUAUGUGAGAGUAGGAGAUCGUCAGGAAA
rnacentral:rRNA from 0 species